UUUUUUUUUUUUUUUUUUUUUGUAUUGUAAAAAUAUGUCCUCCUAAAAAAAUUUUUUUUUUUUUGGAAUUUUUUUAAGCCCUCUCUGUGCCUGACGUGGGCCUCAAACUCACGACCCCAAGAUCAAGAGUCACACAUUCCCCCGACGGGGCCGGCCGGGUACCCCGGAAAAUUUGUUUUUAAAUCAGGAAAUGGACAAAGGAGAGAGGAAAAGAGACGUGGCCCCAGAGCGGGGACCAGGGUCAGCAUCCGGCAAACAUCCUCGGGGAGUUUGUGUUUUUAUACAAAUAGCAUCCUUUUUUUUUUUUUUAAUUUUGCUUUUUAUUUUUAUUUUUUAUUUUUAUUUUUUUUUAAGAUUUCACUCUUUCUGUGGGAAUAAUGGCAGGUUCACAGGAACCUGCAAAGAUAGUCCAGGGAAGCCCCUGUGCCCAUCACCACCCGGCUUGGCUCUGGGCUGCACCCCGGUCACAGCCCAGGCAUCCCGACGCCGCGGAGGGUGCCCCUGCCCCACUGCCGGCCCUCACUCGUCCGUCUGUCCUUGUGGGAAUGUUGUCUCCAUGUCUAUGGAGAUGAGGGUCCAGCCAGUGUGUUGACCGCUCCAUAGUUUGUCCCUUUGUCUUGCCAUGUAAUAUUCCGUGGCACGUGUCCCCGCUGGUUUCCUGAGGGGCUCUCGGGCGGUUCCCGAGUGGGGCUGUUGCCGAUGAAGUUGCCGUGCGUGAUCAUGCACAGGUUCUUUCUAUUUAUUUUUUAAUAUUUUAUUUAUUUCUUUCUGAGAGACAGAGAGAGAGAGGCAGAGACACAGGCUUUCUCUCCCUGCGGGGAGCCCGAUGCAGGACUUGAUCCCGGGACCCCGGGGUCACGGCCUGGGCUGAAGGCAGACGCUCAAUCACUGAGCCCACCAGGUGCCCCUCGUGCACAGGUUCUGAGUGGACGUGAAUCUUCAUCUCUCUGGGGUGAACACCAGGGACGCAUGCGGCCGCCGCCGGGUCAGGUCCUGAGUGGUUCCCACGCUGCCCAGUGUGGACGCGUGUCCCCCUCUGUGGUGCCUUCUUGAGAUUCCUCCGUGCGGAGUGUGAUCCCGAGGGCGGGGACGCAGCACAUCCUUGAACAGGAGACCCUCGAACCGUGUGUUCCCCGAAGCGGAGCCCCUGGGCCCUGGGACUCGGGGACGCAGGUGCCCCACGCAGCCACGUGCCCUCCAGUGCAUCCCGCCUCUCCUAGCUCUUGCCCGGCUGCGAAUCGACAGACACCCGGCCUGGAGCGCAUAUUCGUUUCCCGCGUGAACACAGAGACGGGGCAUUUGUUGUGAAAGGGUCUCGGGGGCUGGUCAGCGCCCCGACCCCGCGCACUCACACUCCCCGUGCGGGGCCUGGGGGAUGCGCGCAGCGGCCUCAGUGGCAGUCCCGCACACCCACCCAGGGCUUCCUGUCGGCUUGGCUGGACGUUGGCCCCGUCCCCCGCGCCCGCCUCUGGCACCACCGGUCGGCCCUUGGGGCCGUAGCUCGGGUUCCGGUCCAUUCCGUGCAGGAGCGAGCUCGCGUUCCACUCUCCCCCUGACCGAUUUCGCUCCUCACGGUGUCGGGCUUGUGCAAACAGAUCACCGAGGCCUCGGUAAGGAGCGGGGGUCCCUCGUCGGCGUCUGUCUCCAGAUGUGAUGCACGAAGGCACCGGGCUCCGGGCCGCCCGCAGCCACCGCUCCCCGCAGCGCGCAGCACUGCCCCGAUCCGGGGAAUUCUCUGGUCACCGAUGCCGAGUGUCGCCUCCCGCCCAUCACCCUGCGGAGAGCUGCGUUCCCAGGGACUCGGCUGCGCUUUCCGACCGGGGCUGCGGCCCUUUGUUGGUUCCCGAGAGGAGCUGCAUGAGGACGGUCCUGCGCGUCCGCCUUAGCCCGCAGCGCCCCCCUCCCGCCUGCCCGCCUGCCUGCCUUCCCUCCUUCCUUCCCUCCUUCCCUCCUUCCUUCCCUCCUUCCCUCCUGCCUUCCCUCCUUCCUUCCCUCCUUCCUUCCCUCCUUCCUCCCAGAGUGUGCUCAGAAAGCGUCCCCUCGCCCCAGCAUUUAAAUAUACGUAUACGUGGAAUUCCUUCUAGGACUUUACAGAUCAAGAAUCACCCUGGGAUAUAUAACUUUUAAGAUUUUAUUUAUUUAGGAGAGAGAGCGCAUGCAUGAGCAGGGGGACGGGUAGAGGGAGAAGCAGGCUCCCCGCGGAGCAGGGACCCCCCCCAUGCCUGCUCGACCCCAGGACCCGACCUGAGCCCAAGGCAGACGCUCCACCGACGGAGCCCCCCAGGCACCCCUGGAGCAUAUUUUUUAAGUGAACCUAUUAUUUUUGGACCGAUGUGCGCUUUAACAGGAAGGUUGCCGACGUGGGGUUCACAAACACCCAGAGUCCCCAACCCCGGGUCCACAUGCAACCUCCCCACCCCGGUCGCCAGCUGAGGACGCUGCAGAUGCCCGGCCUGGAAGGGCCCGUUCCUCCGCUUCCCUGCGGGCCCCGCUCGCCGCCCUCCACUUGCCCGGUGCCCGCAGGACCCAAGAAGCUCUCUCGAGGCGGAGGCCAGGAAGGGCACCGUCCGAGUUUCCUCCCCCGGUAACAUCUAAACAGAAGCGGAAAAAAUAAAUAAAGUAAAA
rnacentral:lncRNA from 1 species